rnacentral:lncRNA from 1 species
CCCUAGCCCUACACCCCUUUUUUUUUGAGACAUCAUCUGACUGUUUUGUUGAGGCUAGCCUCAAACUUGCUAUCCUCUUGCCUCAGCAUCCCAAGUAGCUAGGAUAACAGGAUUACAGGUGUGCACCACUGUGCCUGACUAAUAGCUUCAUAGUUUCUGAAGACAAGCACUUUAGAAGUCUUUUUUUCAAGGGGGAUUGUACUCGGGAGCACUUAACCACUGAUCCACAUUCCCAGCCCUGUUUUGUAUUUUAUUUAGAGAUAAGGUCUCACUGAGUUUCGUAACACCUCACUUUUGCUAAAGCUGUUUUUGAACUCUUGAUCCUCCUGUCUCAGCCCCCUGAGCUGCUGGGAUUACAGGCCUGCACUACUGUGCCUGGCUAAAAAUCAUUUGGUCUCUACUGUGGUUAAUUAAAUUGUCAAAUAUAAACUAUUUUAACAUCCAUUGGAAGAAGAUGGGAGUUAACAGCAUGUGUAUAAAGAGGAAAUACCUGCUUUUUUUCUUGGUUCCUUGCAGGCCUGGUUACAGUUUCUUUUUAGGGAAAUGCCAGCUAAUUCCUUUUCCCCUGGAGGGAUGUGCUCAAGGCAGCUUUGGUGUCUAGUCCUCUCUGUGCACUGAGCACUACUUUAAGAGCUCCACAAGGUAGUUCUGAAGAUUCUUUCCUUCUUUUCUGGAGGUCUCCUGUAUAAUUCAUCCUUAACUCCCUUGGUCUCUUUCCUGUCCUCUGCUCUCAGGGUGUUAAGGAAGUAGAGAUACACUGAGGUAGCCACACCCAGCUCUAAGCAAUACUGCAGAGAAGGUGAAAUGGUGUUUCUGUUUCUACUGUUUCUUUCUCCCCUUCGAAAGUCCCAAGAUUUUUCUUCUUUUCCUGCUGUCAAGAGUCCAUAUUCCUUAUUUUUAUCAUCUUUGAAUAGUAAAUAGUUGUUUAGUUUGAAGAUUGAUCUCUAAGGUUGUUAACCCAAGAUGAUAUUAAUGAAGGGCUUUAGGACAUCAGCAGUUUAGAGGUGUUGGGACCUAGGUUUAGUUACAUUGUGUUCUUUCCCUUGCCUGACACACUGUUCAUUUUCAUACAAAAGGGCAGCUCAGGUAGGAAUAGCCAUGGAGAUGGUGGGAGGCCUAGAUGGUAAUGAGUCAGCUGAGCUGUGGAAUCUUCUGCUGUGCUCCCACUUACUGAGGUAGAUUCCUGGUCAUGCUUGACCAUUUUGUAUUCAUGAGCCAUCAUGAAGUGUGCUGCCUCAUACAUGUAUAAAGAUUGGGAUUUGUUCAAUAGGAUUGAAUUCCAGGCUUUGUGGUAGAGUGCAUAUAAGAGAGGCAGAAUGGUAGAAUGUUGAGUACAGGCCCUGGAGUCAGCUUCCUGAGUUCAGGUACUGGCCCCACUUCUAAGCAGCUGUGUGGGUUUAGAGAAUGUCCCUAGUCUCUCUGCUUCAGCUCCUUAAUCUGCCAGUCUCACAGGGUUGUGAGGAUUAAAUGAGCUACUAUACACCAGGUGCUUCAGCCUCCUUGCAGAUGCUUGGUGCUUUCUCAGUGAUUAUUUCCAGUCUUAAGAGGAGUUCGCAGUGCACCAGUGACAAUUCUUCAGUUUCUGCAACCACCUUCUUUAUGUGAGUUUAAUGGCUGGGAAAUAAAAAGACAGGAUGGUGAGCACAGCAGCUGCCUCUGCCCCUAGGUAUGAACUGUUUUUUCAUUUAGCCUCCUUGGAGUGGGGGAAAGGGGUGAACCAGGCCAUCUCUAGUGGUCUGACUUAGUGUCUAAAAACUUCCAACAUCCCUCCCAAAGUGGUCUUUAGUUCAGUGCCUCUUCUUGUCUCUCCAGAAGUUUUCUAACAGGAUCUCCAUUCUUGAACUUCUUGGAACACUGACCUGCUUGGGCAGUAGAUAAACCAGGAGUGGGAGUGGAGAGGGAGCAUCAUCUCCGUUUUUUCUCUUGGUCUUGAAGAAGUGUAAUGUGGUCUUCCUGGCUACAAAGCAGGGCAGGGUCUUAGUUUUAAUGAACAGAGGGAUACAGGUGGCUUACAACUUGGCCAUGAUAGUAGGAGAUAGGUGUCAUUGAUGAGUACAUAAUAGACCUGUUUCCUUGGGAUAUUUGAUUUUGAUCUUGGGGUAUGCAUAUCUGUUCCCCAGAUUCCUCAUGUAAUCCUUGGGUUGGAUGCAGAUGAGCUUGUCAUUGCCCUUUGGUGCAGUAGAGACAGUGGGCAAGGAACAGGGAGUGUAACCAAAAGCUUGGUCCUCGCCCUCACACCAAUCCAAUAAUGAAGACAAGGUCUUGAGAAAAAGGAAAAAGAAGGUUUAUUGCUUUGCUAGGAAAGGAGAAACAUAGGGGACUCUGUCUCAAAGGCUUUGAUUCUGCCCAUUAGUAGGAACAGGGGGGCUUUUAUAGAGGUGAUUCAGAGAAAAUGAGAUUAGGGAGGAGAUACCAGGAAGAAGUUUAGGGAGAAGAAGAUUGGGAAAAAGUAAAACAAACAAACAAACAUAUAAGCUUCAAAGCCACAAGGGAUAUAGUCUAAGCAUCAAGUGAACCCCUGUUACAGGAAGAGGAGGCUGCUGGUGUCUGGAGGGGCUUACAAAUAUGUGGAAUCUUUAAAAGUGAUCCUAAGCAUUUGGCAUCUCUAAAUGUUUAUGGGCUAGGGAGAAAUUCCAGUUACUGAGCUGUGUGAACAAAACUGACCAUGAGGCUCAGAGACUGGAGGAGACUGGCUCCCACCUAACCCCCAAUUUUACAAAGUUUAUUUCUUGCAUGUGCAUUUCCUUCAGUUUUUCCCAGCUUCUUUUAUUUCAGGUUCUUGGAUAUUGAGAAGAUUGAAGUAUUGAUAGUAUGUCUUACCCUCUAGAAAGACUUUUCUUAGAAUUUUCUACUUGUAGUGACCUCAAGUUAGUAACAUUCUGGGAAUCUUUUUUGCAUUGAAUUUCUUGGGCUUCUGUUUGGGUUUUUUUUUUUUUUUGAAGUGGGAGUGGGUCUUUAAAGGGCAAUGUGCCUUAGGCCCACCCUAUGGUUCUUUAAUGAAGAGACUGUCUGGGUUUUUUGUUUUUGUUUCUUAUUUAUUUAUUUUUUAAUUGUUGAUGGACACAAUACCUUUAUUUUAUUUAUUUUUAUGUGGUGCUGAGGAUUGAACCCAGGGCCUCACAGUGCUAGCAAGGGCUCCAUCACUUGAGGUACAGCCCCAGCCCUGUUUUUAUUUUUUAAAGCAAAAGAAUCUUGUUUACCAGAGUUCCAGAAAUAGAAACUUAAUCCCCA